GGACCGGGACGGACGAACCUCUGGUGUGCCAGUUGUCCUGCCAAGGGCAUGGCUGGUUGGCUACGUUCGGGAGGGAUAACCGCUGAAAGCAUCUAAGCGGGAAGCCUGCUUCAAGAUGAGUAUUCCCACCUCCUUGAGAGGGUAAGGCUCCCAGUAGACCACUGGGUUGAUAGGCCGGAUGUGGAAGCCCAGUAAUGGGUGGAGC
rnacentral:rRNA from 1 species